CUAUCAAGAAAGCCUGUGAAUUUAUGUCCGUCCGCAAGUCUGAAGCAGUUUCAGACUGUACUGCCCACGUGAUGCCGUCAUUUCAUGAUUAGGUGCACAUUAUUGAUGGGUUGAUGCAUUUGAGGGACUCGUUGUUAUCUCACGCGGCUGAAAUGGGGACGAAAUACACGUUUCAAAAGACA